rnacentral:rRNA from 1 species
AACGAACGCUGGCGGCAGGCUUAACACAUGCAAGUCGAACGCCCCGCAAGGGGAGUGGCAGACGGGUGAGUAACGCGUGGGAACAUACCCUUUCCUGCGGAAUAGCUCCGGGAAACUGGAAUUAAUACCGCAUACGCCCUACGGGGGAAAGAUUUAUCGGGGAAGGAUUGGCCCGCGUUGGAUUAGCUAGUUGGUGGGGUAAAGGCCUACCAAGGCGACGAUCCAUAGCUGGUCUGAGAGGAUGAUCAGCCACAUUGGGACUGAGACACGGCCCAAACUCCUACGGGAGGCAGCAGUGGGGAAUAUUGGACAAUGGGCGCAAGCCUGAUCCAGCCAUGCCGCGUGAGUGAUGAAGGCCUUAGGGUUGUAAAGCUCUUUCACCGGAGAAGAUAAUGACGGUAUCCGGAGAAGAAGCCCCGGCUAACUUCGUGCCAGCCGCCGCCGUAACAC